UAAUACGGAAGGUCCAGGCGUUAUCCGGAUUUAUUGGGUUUAAAGGGAGCGUAGGCCGUCUGUUAAGCGUGUUGUGAAAUGUAGAUGCUCAACAUCUGAAUUGCAGCGCGAACUGGCAGACUUGAGUGUGCGCAACGUAGGCGGAAUUCGUGGUGUAGCGGUGAAAUGCUUAGAUAUCACGAAGAACUCCGAUUGCGAAGGCAGCUUACGGGAGCACAACUGACGCUGAAGCUCGAAAGUGCGGGUAUCGAACAGGAUUAGAUACCCUGGUAGUCCGCACGGUAAACGAUGGAUGCCCGCUGUUGACCCACCUGGGCCAGCGGCCAAGCGAAAGCAUUAAGCAUCCCACCUGGGGAGUACGCCGGCAACGGUGAAACUCAAAGGAAUUGACGG
rnacentral:rRNA from 1 species